rnacentral:rRNA from 1 species
UACGUAGGGGGCAAGCGUUGUCCGGAUUUAUUGGGCGUAAAGAGCGUGUAGGCGGCCAAACAGGUCAGCUGUGAAAACUCGAGGCUCAACCUCGAGACGUCGGUUGAAACCGUUUGGCUAGAGUCCGGAAGAGGAGAGUGGAAUUCCCGGUGUAGCGGUGAAAUGCGCAGAUAUAGGAAGGAACACCAGUGGCGAAGGCGACCACCUGGACUGAUACUGACACUGAGGUGCGAAAGCGUGGGGAGCAAACAGG